ACUCAAAUGAAUUGACGGGGACUCGCACAAGCGGUGGAUUAUGAGGUUUAAUUCGAUGGUAAACGAAGAACCUCACCAGGGUUUGAAACCUAACUGAAUACUUUUGGAAACAUAAGUAGUCUCACAAGGACAGUUAGGCAGGUGAUGCAUGGUCGUCGUCAGUUCGUGGUUUGAAUUGUUCCCUUCAGUGGGGUAACGAACGCAACCCCCGUUGCCUGUUACAAGUGUCAGGCGAGACUGCCCAGCUUUCUGAGCACAAGUUCUUCAUUCGAAGAGCUUGCGAAUAGAAAGCUGGGAGGAAGGUGGGGAUGACGCCAGAUCAGCAUGUCCCUCUGAUAUCCUGGGCUACACUCAUAAUACAAUCGGUGCGACAACGCGACGCAAUGGGGCAACCCGGAGCAAAUCGUAAUAAACGCAUCGCCAGUUCGGAUUGGGGUCUGCAACUCGACCCCAUGAAGCCGGAAUCGCUAGUAAUCGCAGGUCAGCUAUACUGCGGUGAAUACGUUCUCGAGUCUUGUACACACCGCCCGU
rnacentral:rRNA from 1 species